ACCCGCUUGGGUCCCCUUCCACACUGUGGAAGCUUUGUUCUUUUGCUCUUUGCAAUAAAUCUUGCUACUGCUCACUCUUUGGGUCCAUGCUGCUUUUAUGAGCUGUAACACUCACCACGAAGGCCUGCAGCUUCACUCCUGAAGCCAGCGAGACCACGAGCCCGCCGGGAGGAACGAACAACUCCAGAUGUGCCGCCUUAAGAGCUGUAACACUCACCGCAAAGGUCUGCAGCUUCACUCCUGAGCCAGCGAGACCACGAACCCACCAGAAGGAAGAAACUCCGAACACAUCCGAACAUCAGAAGGAACAAACUCCAGACGCACCACCUUAAGAGCUGUAACACUCACCGCAAGGGUCCGCAGUUUCAUUCUUGAAGUCAGUGAGACCAAGAACCCACCAAUUCCGGACACAUUUUGGCGACCCAGAUGGGACUUUCGCCUAUCACCAAGCGGUGAGACCAUCACCUAUAGCUGAGCGGCGAGACCAUCACCUAUCACCAAGCAAAUCAAGGCCAUCAAGCUACAGAUGGGCUUACAAAUGGAACCCAAAAUGAGUUCAACUAACAACUUCUACCAAGGGCCCCUGGACCGACCCACUGGCACUUCCCCUGGCCUAGAGUUCCCCUCUGAAGGACACUACAACUGCAAGGCCCCUUCUUCACCCCAUCCAGCAGGAAGUAGCUAGAGCGGUCAUCGGCCAAAUUCCCAACAGCAGUUGGGGUGUCCUGUUUAGAGGGGGGAUUGAGAGGUGACAGCAUGCUGGCAGUCCUCAGCCCUCACUCACUCUUGGCACCUCCUCUGCCCGGGCUCCCACUUUGGUGGCACUUGAGGAGCGCUUCAGCCCACCGCUGCACUGUGGGAGCCCCUUUCUGGGCUGGCCAAGGCCAGAGCCGGCUCCCUCAGCUUCCAGGGAGGUGUGGAGGGAGAGGCUCAAGCGGGAACUGGGGCUGCGUGCGGCGCUUGCGGGCCAGCUGGAGUUCCGGGCGGGCGUGGGCUUGGCGGGCCCUGCACUCAGAGCAGCCAGCCGGCCCUGCCGGCCCCGGGCAGUGAGGGGCUUAGUACCUGGGCCAGCAGCUGUGAAGGGUGUACUGGGUCCCCCAGCAGUGCCAGCCCACCGGCGCUGCACUCGAUUUCUCACCGGGCCUUAGCCGCCUUCCCAUGGGGCAGGGCUUGGGACCUGCAGCCCGCCAUGCCUGAGCCUCCCACACCCCCUCCAUGGGCUCCUGUGCGGCCCGAGCCUCCUCGACGAGCGCCACCCCCUGCUCCACGGCACCCAGUCCCAUCGACCACCCAAGGGCUGAGGAGUGCGGGCGCACGCAGGGGACUGGCAGGCAGCUCCACCUGCAGCCCCGGUGCGGGAUUCACCGGGUGAAGCCAGCUGGGCUCCUGAAUCUGGUGGGGCUUUGGAGAACCUUUACAAUCCCUGAGCUAGACAUAAAUACACCAAUCGGCACUCUGUAUCUAGCUCAAGGUUUGUAAACACACCAGUCAGCACCCUGUGUCUAGCUCAGGGUUUGUGAGUGCACCAAUUGACACUCUGUAUCUAGCUGCUCUGGUGGGGCCGUGAAGAACCUUUAUGUCUAGCUCAGGGAUUGUAAAUACACCAAUCGGCACUCUGUAUCUAGCUCAAGGUUUGUAAACACACCAAUCAGCACCCUGUGUCUAGCUCAGGGUUUGUGAGUGCACCAAUGGACACUCUGUAUCUAUCUGCUCUGGUGGGGCCUUGGAGAACCUUUGUGUGGAUACUCUGUAUCUAAUCUGAUGGGGACGUGGAGAACCUUUGUAUCCAGCUCAGGGAUUGUAAACGCACCAAUCAGCGCCCUGUCAAAACAGACCACUGGGCUCUACCAAUCAGCAGGACGUGGGUGGGGCCAGAUAAGAGAAUGAAACCAGGCUGCCCCAGCCAGCAGUGGCAACCCGCUUGGGUCCCCUUCCACACUGUGGAAGCUUUGUUCUUUUGCUCUUUGCAAUAAAUCUUGCUACUGCUCACUCUUUGGGUCCAUGCUGCUUUUAUGAGCUGUAACACUCACCACGAAGGCCUGCAGCUUCACUCCUGAAGCCAGCGAGACCACGAGCCCGCCGGGAGGAACGAACAACUCCAGAUGUGCCGCCUUAAGAGCUGUAACACUCACCGCAAAGGUCUGCAGCUUCACUCCUGAGCCAGCGAGACCACGAACCCACCAGAAGGAAGAAACUCCGAACACAUCCGAACAUCAGAAGGAACAAACUCCAGACACACCACCUUAA
rnacentral:lncRNA from 1 species